rnacentral:rRNA from 1 species
UACGAGUGCUCCAAGCGUUAUCCGGAAUCAUUGGGCGUAAAGGGUGUGUAGGCGGCUCUGUUAGUCUUGUGUCAAAUCUCCCGGCUUAACCGGGAACCUGCACAGGAAACGGCAGAGCUCGAGGAUGCGAGGGGUGAGCGGAACUCAUGGAGUAGGGGUGAAAUCCGUUGAUAUCAUGGGGAACACCGAAAGCGAAGGCAGCUCACUGGCGCACUCCUGACGCUGAAACACGAAAGCGUGGGUAGCGAAUGGG